CUAUCAACUUUCGAUGGUAGGAUAGUGGCCUACCAUGGUUUUAACGGGUAAAGCAAUCCCUGUUGCUCGUGUUAAUAUCGUUGUGGCAAAGACACAGCUUCAUCAUUGGUUCCGAGGAAGCCCUAAACCGGCCAAUUCGGAGGCGACCCUUGCGGGCGUCUAAACGCAUGCCAAACGAUGGGCCCCUCUUAAUAAAUGGGCUUGAAGUACAUGCUGUCUCACCCGGCCAUUCGGGUUAGCCUCACUAGCCUUCCAAUAUCGGAUAGUGAGUUUUGGUGUCGGUAGUAGUGGGCACUUUGUGGGUCGUACACCAUAGACCACAUAUAUAAGCGACCUAAUGGUUUAUCUAACAUAAGUCUUUCUGCUACUGAUAACAAUCGAGAAUAACGAACGGGGAAUUAGGGUUCUAUUCCGGAGAGGGAGCCUGAGAAACGGUACCACAUCCAAGGAAGGCAGCAGGCGCGCAAAUUACCCAAUCCCAAUACGGGGAGGUAGUGACCAAUAAAUACUGAUACAGGGCUCUUUUGGGUCUUGUAAUUGGAAUGAGAACCAAUUUAAAUCCCUUAACGAGGAACAAUUGGGGGCAAGUCUGGUGCAGCAGCCGGGG
rnacentral:rRNA from 1 species